UACGAAGGGGGCUAGCGUUGCUCGGAAUCACUGGGCGUAAAGCGCACGUAGGCGGCUUCUUAAGUUAGGGGUGAAAUCCUGGAGCUCAACUCCAGAACUGCCUUUGAUACUGAGGAGCUUGAGUCCGGGAGAGGUGAGUGGAACUGCGAGUGUAGAGGUGAAAUUCGUAGAUAUUCGCAAGAACACCAGUGGCGAAGGCGGCUCACUGGCCCGGUACUGACGCUGAGGUGCGAAAGCGUGGGGAGCAAACAGG
rnacentral:rRNA from 1 species